rnacentral:rRNA from 1 species
CUACGGGUUGCUCCAGUGGGGAAUAUUGGACAAUGGGGGAAACCCUGAUCCAGCAAUGCCGCAUGUGUGAAGAAGGCCUGCGGGUUGUAAAGCACUUUCGGUUGGGAGGACUGCUUCUAGCACUAAUAUUGUUGGAAGUUGACGUUACCUUCAGAAGAAGCACCGGCUAACUCCGUGCCAGCAGCCGCGGUAAUACGGAGGGUGCAAGCGUGAAUCGGAAUUACUGGGCGUAAAGCGCGCGUAGGCGGCUAGAUCAGUCGGGUGUGAAAGCCCCGGGCUUAACCUGGGAACUGCAUCCGAUACUGUCUAGCUUGAGUACAGGAGAGGAGAGUGGAAUUCCACAUGUAGCGGUGAAAUGCGUAGAUAUGUGGAGGAACACCAAUGGCGAAGGCAGCUCUCUGGCCUGAUACUGACGCUGAGGUGCGAAAGCGUGGGGAGCGAACAGGAUUAGAUACCCCCGUAGUC